GCCAGGAGCGGUGGCGCACACCUGUAAUCCCAGUGGCUCGGGAGGCUGAGGCAGGAGGAUUGUGAAUUUAAAGCCAGCCUCAGCAAUUUGAAGAGGCCCUAAGCAACUCAGCGAGACCCUGUCUCUA
rnacentral:sRNA from 1 species